CAAUGAAACCCUAAAAGUUCAGCGUUCAUCUUCUCGCUCGAACCCUCUCGAACCCUAAAAGCUAAGGCGCCGUUAGCUUCAUCUUCGCGAUCGAACCCAGCCCUGGUCGUGGUGCUGCUCGCCUCUCUCUGUCGCGGUGCUGCUCAGCCUCAUUGUGGUGCUCCUCGCCUCUCUCUGUCGCGGUUCUGCUCAGCCUCAUCUUCUCGAACCCAGCCCUGGUCGUGGUGCUGCUCGCCUCUCUCUGUGUCGCGGUUCUGCUCGCCUCUCAUCCCGCAUCUGGCAUCAAGGUGCUGCUGAGUAGUUGGGGAGCAGGUGUUUGCUCAUCCUCUUCACUCUUUGAGCAUCUCUCAAGAGCUAAGCUUCUUUGUUUUUCUUUUAUCAGAACCAUGUGUUCUCGAAGCUUUCCGGUGGAGGAGCAAUGAUGAGAAUGGUGGUUUUCUGUUCUUCAUGCCUGAUAUCCUUAGUUGAUUCAGGCCCUUAGUUUACUAUACUUGAGCAAUGGAUCAGGGAACACAAGGCAUCAUCAACAUUCUCUACUGCAUGAAAACUGCUUGAAGAGGAAAGCACCUACUAGUGAACAGAUAGGUCCACAUCAUAUUACUGGCAAUGGGGUUGGAUUUAAACCAGACAUAUUGGACAUGGAUGUAAUGGAGAAAGUUCUUGAGGUUAGCAGUGAAGAUGCAGUCAACAUGCCCAGGGUGCUGGCCUUGAAGGAAGGACUCAUGCUACUGACUAUUUUCUUCGAGUAGAAGCUUUGUUGGCUCAGAAGAUGUUUAAAGAGUUCGAAUUUGGGCAAAAGAUGCAUCGGAGCUUCUAUUUUAAAAUGGGUUGAAAAAGUAGAUGCAUGGAGCUUCUAUUUUAAUAUGGGUUUGUGAAGUUGCAGCUUUCUUUGAAGUUAUAUGAAGUUGCAGAAAAAUAGAAACCUUUUUAAAGAAAGAAAACUGCAAUUAUAUUUCAUCUCCAUAAUGAGAAUACUGACGGUAGUGUGGCUAUUGAAAGUUCAAAGGCUGCUGAUGAAGCUGCUGAAAUUGUUCGUAGUGAAAUUAUUCUGGCAUCAAAGGUUCACUGCAUAGUAUUCACUGAAUGAAUUGCACAGACUUGAUAUUGGCACUACCAUGGAAGAGUUGUAAGAAUGUUUCCAUAAAGGUUCUCUCAUGAGCAGGGGUGCGCUCAAUAACAUUUCAUCCAGAUGGAAGAAUUGGACAUGAAGAUGCCUUAAAGGGACUUUUCAUAUUUUUCUGAUUAGAGGACUUGCGAGAGAUAAUAAAAUCUAAGAAGAUAGUGUUCUGGAGGCUGAAGUUGAGAUGUUCAAGAAGAUUUAAGAUCAAAUUUCUAGAUUUGAUUAUAAGCUGGUUUUUUAAUUACUGAAGACUGAAGUAUCUUGUUGGGAGCAACCUUUGUGAUGGAUGACACAGAUUGAGAUUGAACUGAGUCCACUCUAUCUUGAAUUAUUCUUGGACCACCUGAAUCUGUAUUUUGAAAUGCACUGUCUCCAUCAUCAACUAUAAUUAUCUCUUGCAUAAUUUAAAGUAAUAAUAUAAAGAUUUAAUUCAUUUAGCUUACAUUGAAUUGUAGUCCAAUCCAUGUUGCUUUGGUUCGAUAUAGUUAUAUCUACUGUACCUGUUAACCAAAAAUAGAUCUCUCUUUUAUUGAGAUACAAAUUCGUUCUCUUUAAGAGCACCAAAAACCUGAUUAUCUAUAUAUCAUUUCAGCAAUUCAGGUUGAAUGUUAUCUGGUCAUACAAAAUAAAUUUUACCUUCCUUACUUUGAGAAACACUGGUAUGUUUUUGUUGAGCUCGUUUCGAUGCUCUUUUCAUCCUAGCAUGCUUUGCAAGGUCUGAAUAUCCAAAAGUUAAUUUGUUUACCCGAUAUGCACUGGUAGAUAAGUGUUUGGUGAAUUGUUUACAAUCUAUUUCAUUACCUAUCAUUGGAAUUUCUGGUGCUAAUGUAUUGGUUGAUUGAAGGGGAACCUCAUUCAGAUUAUACUGUCCAUUGCUGACAUUCUCUCCCACCCUUAUGGCUAGGUCUACAUUCCUUCCAUUACUAACAAAACAAAGGCUGUUUUCCUUAUCCUCUUCAUACAUUUUCUUUGCAUUGUUAUGUACGCAAUCUAUAGUGCCUGCAUUACGAAUUCAAGGUUAACCCGAGUAUUUUUUGAAAAAAAUUAUGUAGCCUUUUAAAUCUGUAUCUAAAUAGUAAUUACUUAAUGGUAUAGAACCCCUUGUUUGGCUAAGUCCCUCCAUGCUUCUUCCAUUGAAUUGUGACUGUCCUGUAGAUAAGAAUAUGAAAACAUCAGUGCCUGAAUGGAGGACCUGCCACCAUAUUUUUCAUGAAUGAAAAUUAUCGUAACAAUAAUUUUUUUGACCACAUGACAAAGUAAAUGCAUUAAGAAAAUCUGCACUAAUUUUUUGACACUUGUAUGUGUUUAUAUAACCCAGGUUUUAAGGUGUUUAACUUUUUACAUUCAGCAGUUAAUGGAAAAUUCCCAUAGUUUGUCCAAGAUUCCUCACUGUCCAGAUGCAUUCAGUAUAAGUAUAUACUUCUUAAGCUUAAAUCUAAUCCAAUACAUGAACAU